AUUGAACGCUGGCGGCAUGCUUUACACAUGCAAGUAGAACGGUAACAGGCCUUCGGGUGCUGACGAGUGGCGAACGGGUGAGUAAUGCAUCGGAACGUGCCCAGAGGUGGGGGAUAACGCAGCGAAAGCUGUGCUAAUACCGCAUGUGAUCUGAGGAUGAAAGCGGGGGACCAGGCAGCAAUGUUUGGCCUCGCGCCUUUGGAGCGGCCGAUGUCAGAUUAGGUAGUUGGUGGGGUAAAGGCCUACCAAGCCGACGAUCUGUAGCUGGUCUGAGAGGACGACCAGCCACACUGGGACUGAGACACGGCCCAGACUCCUACGGGAGGCAGCAGUGGGGAAUUUUGGACAAUGGGCGCAAGCCUGAUCCAGCAAUGCCGCGUGCGGGAAGAAGGCCUUCGGGUUGUAAACCGCUUUUGUACGGAACGAAAAGGCUCUGGCUAAUACCUGGGGCUGAUGACGGUACCGUAAGAAUAAGCACCGGCUAACUACGUG
rnacentral:rRNA from 1 species